AGUAACGCGUGGGUAACCUGCCUCAUACAGGGGGAUAACAGUUGGAAACGGCUGCUAAUACCGCAUAAGCGCACAGUACCGCAUGGUACGGUGUGAAAAACUCCGGUGGUAUGAGAUGGACCCGCGUCUGAUUAGCUGGUUGGUGAGGUAACGGCUCACCAAGGCGACGAUCAGUAGCCGGCUUGAGAGAGUGAACGGCCACAUUGGGACUGAGACACGGCCCAG
rnacentral:rRNA from 1 species